CUCAUCCUUACAAAUGGAGAGUUGACUACUUAGAGGUAAGAAGUUCCCCAAGACUCCAUGUGAGAGCUAGAAACCCAGGAGAGCCAGCUCUGCAAUAGUGAAAGUGUGAAGGCGGGAGAGUCAGGAUUGCCAGUGUCUGAUGGAUGUGAUGGCUAAUCUCACUGCCAGCUCUGUAGGCCCUGAAAUCAUGGAGGAGACACACAGCUGUGCAUGUCUUUGAGGUUUAAGAGGCAGAGGAAUAUCUACCCUCAAUCCAGGCUCCAGUCUGCCACCCAGGUCUCGGUGAGACACUGAUACUUCUGGUCCUGCUGUCAAGAGCUUCCAGCACUUCUGAGACACCAGAUCUUGGGUUCAGACUCCAUCUUAGAGAGCAUAACUUAAGGUUGAACCCAAGUUAACUAACAAGUCAGCACCUAGCACCAGCUUCUAGGCCACCAUUCAACAAGCCAGCAUCUAGAACCAGUUUCCAGGUUACUCCCCAA
rnacentral:lncRNA from 1 species